rnacentral:rRNA from 1 species
UUAAGUUAGAAAGGGCGCACGGUGGAUGCCUUGGCACUAGGAGCCGAUGAAGGACGGGACGAACACCGAUAUGCUUCGGGGAGCUGUAAGCAAGCUUUGAUCCGGAGAUUUCCGAAUGGGGAAACCCACCACUCGUAAUGGAGUGGUAUCCAUAUCUGAAUACAUAGGAUAUGAGAAGGCAGACCCGGGGAACUGAAACAUCUAAGUACCCGGAGGAAGAGAAAGCAAAUGCGAUUCCCUGAGUAGCGGCGAGCGAAACGGGAUCAGCCCAAACCAAGAGGCUUGCCUCUUGGGGUUGUAGGACACUCUGUACGGAGUUACAAAGGAACGAGGUAGAUGAAGAGGUCUGGAAAGGCCCGCCAUAGGAGGUAACAGCCCUGUAGUCAAAACUUCGUUCUCUCCUGAGUGGAUCCUGAGUACGGCGGAACACGUGAAAUUCCGUCGGAAUCCGGGAGGACCAUCUCCCAAGGCUAAAUACUCCCUAGUGACCGAUAGUGAACCAGUACCGUGAGGGAAAGGUGAAAAGCACCCCGGAAGGGGAGUGAAAGAGAUCCUGAAACCGUGUGCCUACAAGUAGUCAGAGCCCGUUAACGGGUGAUGGCGUGCCUUUUGUAGAAUGAACCGGCGAGUUACGAUCCCGUGCAAGGUUAAGCAGAAGAUGCGGAGCCGCAGCGAAAGCGAGUCUGAAUAGGGCGAAUUGAGUACGUGGUCGUAGACCCGAAACCAGGUGAUCUACCCAUGUCCAGGGUGAAGUUCAGGUAACACUGAAUGGAGGCCCGAACCCACGCACGUUGAAAAGUGCGGGGAUGAGGUGUGGGUAGGGGUGAAAUGCCAAUCGAACCUGGAGAUAGCUGGUUCUCUCCGAAAUAGCUUUAGGGCUAGCCUCAAGGUAAGAGUCUCGGAGGUAGAGCACUGAUUGGACUAGGGGCCCCUACCGGGUUACCGAAUUCAGUCAAACUCCGAAUGCCGAUGACUUAUCCUUGGGAGUCAGACUGCGAGUGAUAAGAUCCGUAGUCGAAAGGGAAACAGCCCAGACCGCCAGCUAAGGUCCCAAAGUAUACGUUAAGUGGAAAAGGAUGUGGAGUUGCUUAGACAACCAGGAUGUUGGCUUAGAAGCAGCCACCAUUUAAAGAGUGCGUAAUAGCUCACUGGUCGAGUGACUCUGCGCCGAAAAUGUACCGGGGCUAAACGUAUCACCGAAGCUGCGGACUGUUCUUCGAACAGUGGUAGGAGAGCGUUCUAAGGGCUGUGAAGCAAGACCGGAAGGACUUGUGGAGCGCUUAGAAGUGAGAAUGCCGGUAUGAGUAGCGAAAGAGGGGUGAGAAUCCCCUCCACCGAAUGCCUAAGGUUUCCUGAGGAAGGCUCGUCCGCUCAGGGUUAGUCGGGACCUAAGCCGAGGCCGAAAGGCGUAGGCGAUGGAUAACAGGUUGAUAUUCCUGUACCACCUCCUCACCAUUUGAGCAAUGGGGGACGCAGGAGGAUAGGGUAAGCGCGGUAUUGGAUAUCCGCGUCCAAGCAGUUAGGCUGGGAAAUAGGCAAAUCCGUUUCCCGUGAAGGCUGAGCUGUGAUGGCGAGCGAAUUAUAGUAGCGAAGUUCCUGAUUCCACACUGCCAAGAAAAGCCUCUAGCGAGGUGAGAGGUGCCCGUACCGCAAACCGACACAGGUAGGCGAGGAGAGAAUCCUAAGGUGAUCGAGAGAACUCUCGUUAAGGAACUCGGCAAAAUGACCCCGUAACUUCGGGAGAAGGGGUGCUCUGUUAGGGUGCAAGCCCGAGAGAGCCGCAGUGAAUAGGCCCAGGCGACUGUUUAGCAAAAACACAGGUCUCUGCGAAGCCGUAAGGCGAAGUAUAGGGGCUGACGCCUGCCCGGUGCUGGAAGGUUAAGAGGAGCGCUUAGCGUAAGCGAAGGUGCGAAUUGAAGCCCCAGUAAACGGCGGCCGUAACUAUAACGGUCCUAAGGUAGCGAAAUUCCUUGUCGGGUAAGUUCCGACCCGCACGAAAGGCGCAACGAUCUGGGCACUGUCUCAACGAGAGACUCGGUGAAAUUAUAGUACCUGUGAAGAUGCAGGUUACCCGCGACAGGACGGAAAGACCCCGUGGAGCUUUACUGCAGCCUGAUAUUGAAUGUUGGUACAGCUUGUACAGGAUAGGUAGGAGCCUUGGAAACCGGAGCGCCAGCUUCGGUGGAGGCAUCGGUGGGAUACUACCCUGGCUGUAUUGACCUUCUAACCCGCCGCCCUUAUCGGGCGGGGAGACAGUGUCAGGUGGGCAGUUUGACUGGGGCGGUCGCCUCCUAAAAGGUAACGGAGGCGCCCAAAGGUUCCCUCAGAAUGGUUGGAAAUCAUUCGCAGAGUGUAAAGGCACAAGGGAGCUUGACUGCGAGACCUACAAGUCGAGCAGGGACGAAAGUCGGGCUUAGUGAUCCGGUGGUUCCGCAUGGAAGGGCCAUCGCUCAACGGAUAAAAGCUACCCCGGGGAUAACAGGCUUAUCUCCCCCAAGAGUCCACAUCGACGGGGAGGUUUGGCACCUCGAUGUCGGCUCAUCGCAUCCUGGGGCUGUAGUCGGUCCCAAGGGUUGGGCUGUUCGCCCAUUAAAGCGGUACGCGAGCUGGGUUCAGAACGUCGUGAGACAGUUCGGUCCCUAUCCGUCGCGGGCGCAGGAAAUUUGAGAGGAGCUGUCCUUAGUACGAGAGGACCGGGAUGGACGCACCGCUGGUGUACCAGUUGUUCUGCCAAGGGCAUCGCUGGGUAGCUAUGUGCGGACGGGAUAAGUGCUGAAAGCAUCUAAGCAUGAAGCCCCCCUCAAGAUGAGAUUUCCCAUUCCGCAAGGAAGUAAGAUCCCUGAAAGAUGAUCAGGUUGAUAGGUCUGAGGUGGAAGUGUGGCGACACAUGGAGCUGACAGAUACUAAUCGAUCGAGGACUUAACCAA